UGUUGUUGAUGUGUGUUUAAUAUUUACAUUUCAAGAGGCAUAGCAAGCGGAAAACGGUUUGGUUUGUUAUUCGAAGCUAGGAGAUAAAAUUGCAAACGGUGCGUGUUUCAUACCAUUUAACAUAUCAGCAAGUCGAAGCACACGUAGAAUGGGAUCGAAGUAACGGCUUCAUAUUUUGGAACCAUGCACCAGCGUUGGAUGCUGGUGUCAUACUUAGCACUCAUACUUAAUUCAUGGAACGGUUUAUAAUGUAAUAAGCUCGCGUGAAGUUUUUCCAGCUUAGUUAGAUUGCGUUUCAACAGCUUCUACCGUGUGAUGUAGCUGUUUCUCCGAGUGUUGCCGGUUUCAAAGGAUACCCGCUCGCUGUCGGUUACUAACCAACGCUGGAUGUAUACAGGAGUGCAUUGCCACGAUUACGACGGUGCAGGCCAUUUGACGUGCCGGCUGAUUCUCUGACCGAUCCAGUUUUGACUACCACAUUUGCUCGCUUUGAUGUCACCAUGCUGUUGCAUGCCAUCGCCGAGAUAAGCAUCUACUUGGCUGUGAAUCCACUGGAUUCGAUAUCGCGUAUAAUGAACCCAAAACAUCACCGACGCUGAGCAUUAUAACAUUUACCGUGGCGUGCAGCGGAUCCUGUAGAACAGGGGUCUCCAAACUUUUCAGUUCGCGGGCCGCAUUGCUUCACAAUCAACUAUGUUGAGGACCAUUUUGGCGCUACCUUUAGAAUGGGUGGAAGUUCAAAUCUUGUUUUGUAUAAGAAAAUACAUAAAAUUUCUGGAGCUUUCUUUUAUUGAAUCUUGAUUUUUGUCUCCCAGAAUUAAAAAAAUAAAUUUUGAUUGGUUAGUCAGAAAAAAAGCUAUUUAAUUUAACCUUCACCCAGUCAUCGCGGGCCGCAUUAAAGGCUAUUGAGGGCCGCAUGCGGCCCGCGGGCCGUAGUUUGGAGACCCCUGCUGUAGAACUACAGGACGCUCCAGGAAAUAAUUCCCAUCCUGACAAUGAAUGAGCUGUUCGUAGUGUUGCACAUAGUGCAUUGUGCUAGCACUUUUCGCACAGUUUGGUCCACGAGAACGGUGCGCUUUUUGUGCUCUUAACGUGCUAUGCUCUUUGAGUUUUGAGCCCUGUCCGCUCUUUGAGCACUUGAGGUUUGGUCUCCAUUUUUUCCACGUCCACGUAAAACUUUCCGCACAGUCGCGUACUUUAAGCGCUGUGUUGUAAUGCGCGCAUAAUAUGAUGUGCUGUGCGCAUGAUGCGCCGUUUCCAGCGUUUCGAAUUUCAGGCGUUUCAGGUCACAGAAGUGUUCACGGGCUAUGCCGGCAAGCUGGUGAACAAAGAGAACAUUAUCAAGGUUUACACCAUGCUCAUGAACGGCAAACUCGACCAACUGACGGAGAUUGCCUUUUGGUCAUGGUCGGUACGAUCGAGAAUUUUGGCAAAACGAAGUAAAGCGUCUGGCCAAGGAACCGGCCUAAGAAUCCGGUCGACUCAAAAAGAUAAAGUAGGCAGUUUUCCAGUAGUUGCGUCGGCGUUCGAAUUCGGUUGGAAAACGAUCAAGCAGAGCUCCUCGGAUGUGAACUUACUUCAGCGGCACCUCCUCAUUCACUGUGCUGUUAGUGUAAUAAUUUUAAUCGAAUCGAUGAUAUUCUUAGCAUACGAGGCGUGUAAUUUGUUAGUUUCUCCAUAGUGCAAAUAUAAAAAAGAUGUUUUGUAGAUGGAUGAAAAGGUA